rnacentral:tRNA from 1 species
GUUGUGGCUCAGUGGUAGAGUGCGCAUCUAGCAUGUGCGAGGCCAUGGGUUCAAUCCUCAGCACCACA